GUGUACCUGUGUGAUGUAGGUGUAGUGUAGUGUAGUGUACCUGUGUGAUGUAGGUGUAGUGUAGUGUAGUGUACCUGUGUGAUGUAGGUGUAGUGUAGUGUAGUGUACCUGUGUGAUGUAGGUGUAGUGUACCUGUGUGAUGUAGGUGUAGUGUAGUGUAGUGUACCUGUGUGAUGUAGGUGUAGUGUAGUGUAGUGUACCUGUGUGAUGUAGGUGUAGUGUAGUGUAGUGUACCUGUGUGAUGUAGGUGUAGUGUAGUGUAGUGUACCUGUGUGAUGUAGGUGUAGUGUAGUGUAGUGUACCUGUGUGAUGUAGGUGUAGUGUAGUGUACCUGUGUGAUGUAGGUGUAGUGUA